rnacentral:tRNA from 1 species
GGAGAGAUGCUCGAGUGGUUGAAGAGGCACGACUGGAAAUUGUGUGUACGUUAGCUCGUAUCGAGGGUUCGAAUCCCUCUCUCUCCG